rnacentral:lncRNA from 1 species
AUAAUUAAUUAAUCUAAUUAAUAUAUUUAAAUUAUUAUUUAUUACUUAAAUAAUAAAAUAAUUUAUUUAUUUAUUAUUUAUAAUUAAUAAUUUAAUAUAUUUUUUUAUAAACUAAUAUUUAUAUUGUUCAACCAUUAAUAUUUCUAUUAAUCUAAUUAAUUUUUUUACUAGUUUUCUAGCAAAAAUAAUUUACUAACUAAUUAAAAUAUUAAAUUAUUUAUUAUAUUUAAUUAAUUAAUUAAUAUAUUUUUAUUAUUUCAUAAAAUAUUCAUAGCUAAUAAAUUUGUUAAUUUAUUAAUUUAUUUUUAAAUAAUAUUUUGAUGUUAAUUAAUUAGAUAAAAUAAUUUUGAAUUUUAAAUUAUAACUUUUAUUUCUUUUGUUCCAAUCUAAUCAUCCAAAUACUAUUUAGUUUAUUCCUAAAAACAACUUAAUUCUCAUCCAAAUACAAAAUUGGUGUAGUUUCUGCUUAUGCCUGGAAUUGUACCUAUUCGUAGAAUAAGCAGUUCUUACUUAUACCCGAACCAAACACAGCCUUAGUUGGCAAAUAACGUAACAAAAUAAAAAAGGGCUUUUUGCUUUU